AUAGUAGUCCUAUUUUAUUAUAUAAAGUUGAACUUUCAUACUUUUGGAAGCACCAACUUUCAACUUUUGGGCCUCUUGAUUUAUAUUAUUAUCACCACCAACUAGUAAACCCUAAAGAUCCAGGGGUUCAAAAGUUAAAAGUCAAUACUUUUAAACGCAUAGUAGCCCCACGAUAUAUUCAUAUAUACGAGUCCGACUACUAUACUUUCAAUAGUACCAAAUGCUUGGUGCUAUCGAGUUUUCUGCCAUUAGAUCUACUCGUUUGACCAUUUCCACCCGUUAGAUCAUAUUAUUCAACUAACCAACCACUCAACCCUAGGAGACCACUGUCAUCCUAAAUCGAGGACCACUAUUAUACUGUCCACACAUCACUUCAUCCAAGGGCUGAAAAACUAAUAGCACCAAGGGUUUGGUACUAUUGACAGUGUAGUAGUCUAAUUCCAUAUAUACAUACACACACAUAUAUUAUAGUAGGUCUUGUGUGUUAUUAGGAGUACGGAGGCCUCUGUGCUAUUAAGCCAUUUUCGAUGAUGGAACUUCCGAAUCGAUGAUCAGCUCCAUUAGGCUUGAUCUAGCAUAUUUGAACUAUGGAGAAAAUAAAUUUUACAAUUUUUCGAUAUCAUUUGCUUAUUAGUGAUCAAAAUGACUCAAAAUUUAAUUCGAAUUUAAUCUAUAAUGGGUACGAACAGCAAGAUUGUUCUUUA
rnacentral:lncRNA from 1 species